UGAGGUGAGAAGCCAGUGAAAGAGUAACAAAAGGUGUACAAAAUGCAGGAGCUAGCUACUGCAGUCGGUGCUCUUAUAAGCAUCAUCUAUGUGAAAAGAGUGAGGAAGGAACAAAACUUUCAUUUUUGUGUAUAGUGAUUGUGAUAGCAAUGAAUCGCAUCUUACGUGAUAUUGUUGCUUGGUUGUCUGAGAAGUCCCACACCGGUUACGUUUGCAAGUUAUUUAUUGUUUAUAUAAUACACACAUACCAUCUGUUAAUGUCCCUUCGGGGACAUCCGAUAAAAUUGGAACGAUACAGAGAAGAUUAGCAUGGCCCCUGCGCAAGGAUGACACGCACAAAUCGAGAAAUGGUCAAAUUUUUUUUGACUUUUUUUUCCUUCGUCUUCAUCUGCUUCGUUUUCUCGUUUUACCUUGUCCCUUUCAUUUGCUGCAGGUUUUGGGGUGAGAACUUUAUUCCAGUCUAGCUUCCUAACAUUGAAUAUGCAUCAAUGGCCAUUAAUGACAUGAAUCCACAAUUAAAGGAGAAGCUUGUUGGAUAGGCUUGUCACGAUCUGAAUGAAUUGGCUUCCCGAGCAAUACACAUCGAUAGUAAAGGGAGAAUAAACAUGUUGGCCGAGGAAGAGGCCAUCAUUGGUAUGGAGGAAUCAUAAAAUGAUAUAGCAGUCGGUCCUACGACAAAUUUAUUAGCAAUUGAAAUUCUAAAUACGAAAAGCUACUCAUGUCCUCCCUUGAACCCAACUAAAGGAAAGGGCACCAUUUCAUAAGAAGACAUAAUAGAAUAUAUUGUUUACCUUCUUCCUUUCAUUUGAUUCUUUUUGAUGCAGAUUUUAAUUGGCCCACUGUCGCUACUUCUAGAGAGUCUGUGACUGGCUAUUGUGCCUUUCUUGGAUCAUCUCUAAUCUCCUAGAAAUCAUCGAAGCAAUCUACACUUUCUAAAUAAAGUUAAGAAGCUCAACACAGGAAUGCUAAUGGCAGAAUAGCACGCGUUAUGAAUGAACCAAAGAGCAAUACGUAGAGUGAGGAUAGAUAAUUUUUAAUUGAUUGAAUGCUGUGAUUUUUCAUUCUGCACCAAGGCAAUAUAAAGUGGAAUUUGUUACAAAUUCUCCACAAAAAGUGUGAUAUUACAAUUUCUAGAGGAAGGGCCCACUUAAUUGAAAGAAAAUUACAAAACCUAAGGUGUAAAACUAUAGGGUAAAUAUUAUCUAUAACAAUACCCGCCCCAUAAGGAACACCCUUGUCCUAAAGGGUGGAAGUUAGGAAAUUCUUUUAGAAGAUCAUAAUAAAAUUCCCAAGUAGCACGGUCUGGAGGGCUGUUUUUCCACUGAACCAGCACCUUUGUAGCAGCCACCCUGCCCCUCUUGACCAUUUUUCUAUCCAGAAUUUUUUCAGGUUCCAGUUGUCCAUGAGAAGGAACAUCAGUAGUAGCAAUGGCAUGUGCAGGAGCAGUAUUUGGAUUAGGAUAGAGCUUUAAUUGGGAAACAUGGAAGACAUUGUGAAUUCCACUUGCAGCAGGGAGCUCUAAUUUAUAUGCAGCAGAGCCUAUUUUGUCCAAACCUUAUAAGGGCCAUAGAAUUUAUGAAGAAGCUUGUGAAAUGCAGUGCCUCUGACAGUUAUUUGUCGAUAGGGAUGUAGCUUCAGAUAGAUAUAAUCACCUAUAGCAAAUACUCUCUCACUCCUCCUCUUGUUAGCUUGUUGAGACAUAUGAUUUUGAGGUCUUAGGAUAUGAAAACGAAGGACCUUAAUAACCUCAUUCUGAUAUUCUUAAUCUAUGUAUUAACAUAUUUCUCUAACUAACUCUAAGCAGGCCAUUGUAGAAGAUAUUUUUUCUUUAGUUUCCCUUGAAAUGGGAAGUCUAGUCAUUAGUGGAUUCAGGGGCCUCUUCAUUGAGUAUACCAUCAUACUUGAAAUAGCCCUUACUUAAGUUAUGAAACAAGUGCAAUGGAGCAAGAUAGAUAUAUAGUCUUAGAGUCAAGUUAGCUCAGUCACUAUCAAAACAGGUUUCUAUUUUAUAGAUGGUGAUGUGAUUGGAUCAUUGAUGUUAGCUACUACAACAAUUCAAAAACUGUUGGAGAUUAAGAAAACACGUUUACCAUCCAAAUCAGUCUAUAUCUAGGACAUUUGCAUUAACACCCAUCCACAUUAGACUCUUGAUUGUAUGGACACUAUACAGAGAUUUUUUAGUAUGUUCCUGCUUGUGCUUGAUAACACCCGUUUCUGCAUCAAUAGCUACUUCUGACUAAUUCUCCUCCGCGUCUACCUUAUCCUCUGAAUAUUUCAUAUCGUCUUUUUGAUAAUGUCAGUGAAAAUUGUCUAAUUCUCGCCAAAUAGGUUUUCAUUGUUUUUUCCGCAGGUUGGAAAGCACAACAUCAUAGCCCGAGCUUUUAAAGUUAAUAAUCCUCAAAGCUGGUGUUUCUUUGGCUGUAUAUUUAGCUGGUUUCAUCUAUGCCUUGGUCCUGGUCAAUAAAGGCCUAUCUAAAUCAGAUUGACACCAACACAGUCCACAGUCCAAUGCUCUUUUAAUCUUUCAGAAAAAAGCUGGUGCUACACGUGGAAGAAUCGGUAAACCUGAAUGUUUUGAAAUCAUCUACUCCAAGCAAUACUCAAACCGUUAAAGAUACCCCAUCAUUCAGCAUUAAUAUCUAAGCAGGGGUGAAGGUUUUGCUGCAAAAGCAACACAAGAAUCACCUCCAUCAUCAACUUAUUUUGAGGUGCACAACACCAUUAACUAUGUCAUUUUAGAAAUUGUUGUUGGAAAGAUAUGUUUGUAAAUAGGAUUGUGAUACUUGAAAAUGCAAGUCAAAGUUCUGUAACACUUAUUUUGGAUCGUGGUAGACUUGUCCUGCUAGAGGUACCGAGUUGUGAGAUUAGGUGUGAUGCACAUAUCCUUAUUAGCAUGAA